CGUCAAAUAGUCAUAUAGUCGUAUAGUUAUGGCCAUCUAGUCAUAGUCGUAUAGUCAUACUGUUGUGGUUUUAUAGUCUUUUAGUAUUAUUUCAAGUUUGAAAAAUGGCCUUUCAGCAUUCUGGCCUUUCAGCAUUUGCAAUCACCUCGCCUUCGGCGACUAAUUGUUAAAUAGUCAUGGUUAUAAUCAUCUAAUGAUAUAGUCAUCGUCAUGUUGUCAUGGUCAUAUAGCCAUAAAAUCAAAUAGUCAUAUUCUCAUACAGUCAUAUAGUCAUAUAGUUAGUCAUAUAGUCAUGUAGCCAUAUAGUCAUAUAGUCAUAUAGUCAUAUAGUCAUAUAGUCAUAUAGUCAUAUAGUCAUAUAGUCAUAUAAUCAUAUAGUCAUAUAGUCAUAUAAUCAUCUAAUGAUAUAGUCAUCGUCAUGUUGUCAUGGUCAUAUAGCCAUAUAAUCAUAUAGUCAUAUUCUCAUACAGUCAUAUAGUCAUAUAGUUAGUCAUAUAUAUAGUCAUCUAGUCAUCUAGUCAUAUAGUCAUAUAGUCAUAUAGUCAUAUUGUCAUAUAGUCAUAUAGACAUAUAGUCAUAUAGUCAUAUUUAGCAGUUAGUUAUUUAACAGAGCAGUCUGAGCUGUAAGCAUGAUGUCAUAAUACCGCAUUGGGUACCCCAAAAGACCUCUUUAAGGUAUUCCCAAGCACGUUAUUGUGGUUUACUCCAAAAAUCUUAUUGAGUUUCCCUGCAAACAUCCCGUUGGGGCAUGUAGUCAAGGUCAUGUAACGAUACAGUUACGCCUAUAGUCAUAGUACUAGUAAUAGUCUUGAAGAGGCUGAUCUAGGGGAGAGAGAAAUCCCACAUGUAACGAUAUUACACUAAAAAUGUCUG